GACGAACGCUGGCGGCGUGCUUAACACAUGCAAGUCGAACGGAAAGGCCUGCUUUCCCUUGUGGAUUGCGGGUACUCGAGUGGCGAACGGGUGAGUAACACGUGAGUGAUCUGCCCCCAACUUGGGUAUAAGCCUGGGAAACUGGGUCUAAUUCCCGAUAGGACUGCAGGGUGGUGCCUGUGGUGGAAAACGAUUUUCUAGUGGUUGGGGAUGAGCUCGCGGCCUAUCAGCUUGUUGGUGGGGUAAUGGCCUACCAAGGCGGCGACGGGUAGCCGGCCUGGGAGGGUGGACGGCCACAUUGGGACUGAGCUACGGCCCAGACUCCUACGGGAGGCAGCAGUGGGGAGUAUUGCACGAUGGGCGGAAGCCUGAUGCAGCGACGCCGCGUGGGGGAUGACGGCCUUCGGGUUGUAAACUCCUUUCGACCGCGAGGAAGCCACCUGGUUGGAAGGGUGGUGACGGUAGUGGUAGAAGAAGCACCGGCUAACUACGUG
rnacentral:rRNA from 1 species